GAUGAACGCUGGCGGCGUGCCUAACACAUGCAAGUCGAGCGAUUCUCUCCGGAGAAGAGCGGCGGACGGGUGAGUAACGCGUGGGUAACCUGCCCUGUACACACGGAUAACAUACCGAAAGGUAUACUAAUACGAGAUAAUAUGCUUUUAUCGCAUGGUAGAAGUAUUAAAGCUCCGGCGGUACAGGAUGGACCCGCGUCUGAUUAGCUAGUUGGUAAGGUAACGGCUUACCAAAGCGACGAUCAGUAGCCGACCUGAGAGGGUGAUCGGCAACAUUGGAACUGAGACACGGUCCAAACUCCUACGGGAGGCAGCAGUGGGGAAUAUUGCACAAUGGGCGAAAGCCUGAUGCAGCAACGCCGCGUGAGCGAUGAAGGCCUUCGGGUCGUAAAGCUCUGUCCUCAAGGAAGAUAAUGACGGUACUUGAGGAGGAAGCCCCGGCUAACUACGUGCCAGCCGCCGCCGUAAUAC
rnacentral:rRNA from 1 species